GGGGAUUUGUUUUCUAAUGCCUCUAAUUCAAGCACAGAAAUUCUGACAAAGGAAACAAAUUGAAAAGCUAAUCCUUUGUGGAAAAAGUAGCUGGCCCUGAUUCUGCUUCCACUGAAACUGAAGAAGCUCCAAUUAACUUUUAAACAUGGGUAAGAGGACAUUGAGAAGUCUUGCAGAUGGAAAUCAGAUCAACCUCUACUUCAAAUCAGCUGUGCUUCCGAAUGUGAAGAGCUGGAUGGAGUGUGCCUCCAUGUCCUGUGGCAAGAAACAAUACUUACCUUCCGCAGAAGGAGAAAGCACUUGUUUCAUUAUUUGGAAAUGACCAAUUCUAAUGAUGUUCGUGGUAGCAAUUUACUUCGUAGCACAUAAAGAGUUGUGUUCCGAUUUAUAAAGUACCUUAAGAGAUGCUAGUUCCAUUUAAAGAGCAAGACUCUUAGGAAACACAGUAUGUUUCCCUGAACACACUCAGAUCAGCUUUAUUUUCUUUUAUUUUUUUUUAACAAACACCUUGUAUCACAUUUUUCCAAUACAUGUUCCAAUAUGUAUCCAAGUCUUUUUAAUGGUGAAGCUGCUAUACAAACUUUCUGAUCAGACUGUUCCAUUUACAGUCAGUAUUUUGUGAAAAGAGUGGAACUCAGGAAUAUCCCUUUUUAGGGUUUCCAUGCAGCUGGUCUGCCAUACCUCAGAUCAGACUGAAAGAAGAGGCUUAAAUUCCCACAGUUAGUUUUUCUAUUUGGGCCACUAAGUUAAGAAUUAAAGUAGAAGGGAAGAAAACCAUCUUUUUUUCCAUAACCAUUCAUAAGAUAAGCAAGGCACAUGUUGGCCUCACUCCUUGAAUGCAGAAGCUCGAGCAGAAAUUUCUGCUCUUUUUUUUUUAAUGACUUCUAUAACCACCCAGUUAAGUAUAAGCAAGAGAGAAAGCAUUGUAACUUCAGCAGGUGAGUCUGAGCGACCUUGCCCAGAACAUCCCUCUGGCCUUUCAGUAAAUGCCAGCAGCAAAAAAAAAA